rnacentral:rRNA from 1 species
CACGCAGAGCGAAGCCUGACGCAGCGACGCCGCGUGGGGGAUGAAGGUCUUCGGAUUGUAAACCCCUUUCGGGAGGGAAGAUGGAAUGGGGUAACCCGUUCGGACGGUACCUCCAGAAGCAGCCACGGCUAACUUCGUGCCAGCAGCCGCGGUAAUAAU